rnacentral:rRNA from 1 species
AUGAGCGGCGGCGGCUCGGGCGCGGCCUCGCCGGAGGUCGGGAGCGGCGACGAGUGGCUGCGCAUCUUCGACCGGGUCGCGGCGCUGCUGCCGCGGGUCGAGGAGCUCGCCGCGGACCGCGCGCGCAGCAGGACCCGCCAGGAGUCGUCGGAAGCCCGCGAGAACUCCCUCCAUGCCCGCCUCCUCCAGGCGGAUGCGAGCCGGAGGAGGUGGAAGGCGGCCUACACGGAGCUGCCUCCCGGUGCCAAUCCCAAGCUCGCCGAACUUCAAGAAAAUGACUUGGUGGAUUACAAAGCCUGUGAAGGGAUUAUUUAUGCCGGUGGCUCUGAUCCAGAGAUACAACAGGGGGGCUCCAGAAAUGACCAACAGUUCAGUCAGAACAACGAGGAUCAUGAGGACACCGCAAGAGACUUGAGAGCAGAACUAAAUAAACUGAAGCAAGCGUACAGGACAAUGAGCUCAAAAAAAGAUAGGGAGGUUUCUGAACUACUUGUAGUGCAGAAUUUCCUGUGGAACCAAUUGAGGACAAUGGACAAGGACAACACGGCGCUCCUUAAGAUGAAAGAAGUGGAGGCAGCUCAAGCUACUGAAGCAGCCCGAAAUAAGGAUGCUGAGAUUGACAGAUUGAGAGCAGAGGCUGCUAAUGCAAAAACAAGGGUACUGGUUCUUGAGGGUAAGCUGCUGGAAAUGCAUUCCUUGGUUAACGAGAAGAACGAUGAAAUACAAAAACUCAAAAGUGGCCAACCUAAGAGUCUGAAGUGCAAAUGCGCCUCUUGUGUAUCAAAUGAGACUAGUCAAAAGCGCAGGAAGCUUACCAAUGAGAUGCAUUUUGGACAGUGCACGACUACAAAAAAAAGCAAGGGUUGCAACUUCCCUGGUAUGCAUCCAUUGGCAAAAAAGAACCAAGUACCGUUGAAUUGUUGGUUGAUGCUGUUAGAGCAUGAAGAUUUUUACCGUUAUAUUCCUCAGUGUGGUGAUGAGGUUAUGUACUUGCCAGAGGGCCAUGAAGCAUAUCUUAAUGGAAUGCGGUUAUCUGAUAGUUGCCCAUGUGAUCGGAUCAAAGACCUUAAAGCUGUAGAGCUUUGUAGAAUUGAGGGUCUUGGUUAUUCAGCUUAUGGUGAAAGCUGUUGUACAUUAGCACUUAAAUUCAUUGAUGACACUUCAAGCGGAUUUGGCAAACAGUUUAUAAUCACAUUGCUUGAGCUGGCUGACUUUUCUGAUUUUCUUGUGGAAAGAACACGGUUUGAAGCUACUAUUGUGCAGAACUGGACUAUCAGAGAUAAGUGCAAAGUUUGGUGCAUGGAUGAUGGAGAGGGAGAACGAAGUUGGUGGGAGGGACAUGUGUUGGCAAUAACACCUGAUUCGCCUGAUUUUCCUGAGAGUCCAUGGCUUAAAUAUGCUAUACAGUUUUAUGAUGGUUCUGACUUUCUGUAUAGCCCCUGGGAGCUCCAUGCUGCUGGCCCAUUGGUUCCAUGGAAACAUCCACAUAUUGAUUCCAGUAUCAGGAAUAAACUGUUAUCAGCAAUGACCACUUUACAGAAAAUGUCUCACAAAAACCAGGGGGUGCAGAUGAGCCCGGGAGCAGAAACUCCGCGUCCGGAUUACUAUGGUGUUCUGAAGUUGGAUACUGUUGUAGGAGAAUCAGAUUUCAUAAACAGGUUUCCUGUCCAGUUUUCCAUCGAGGUGAUCAGGGCAAGACUGCAGAACGAUUACUACAGAACUCUGGAUGCUGUCCAACAUGAUGCGACUGUGAUGCUUGCCAAUGCCAAGUCUUGCUUCUCAAAGAGCUCUGUAAUGACCAAAAAGAUCCACAGGCUAUCAGAGUGGGUCAAUGAUAACAUUCAAUCGCUUUACCCCCCACGCCCACCCCCACCCAAUUGUCCUAUGCAAUACAGACAACAACCAGCCAUAUGGACACGGCAUACAUAUAUGUAUACACAAAACAACAAAAAGAAAUACAGAAUACAUCCCUAUAAAAUCUCAGCAGUGCCGACAAUUGGCAUACCCCACAUUCCCAACAUGGGGUAA